rnacentral:rRNA from 1 species
AAUGCGGCAGCUACACAUGCAAGUCGAGCGGCAGCGGAAGUAGCUUGCUACUUUGCCGGCGAGCGGCGGACGGGUGAGUAAUGUCUGGGAAACUGCCUGAUGGAGGGGGAUAACUACUGGAAACGGUAGCUAAUACCGCAUAACGUCGCAAGACCAAAGAGGGGGACCUUCGGGCCUCUUGCCAUCAGAUGUGCCCAGAUGGGAUUAGCUAGUAGGUGGGGUAACGGCUCACCUAGGCGACGAUCCCUAGCUGGUCUGAGAGGAUGACCAGCCACACUGGAACUGAGACACGGUCCAGACUCCUACGGGAGGCAGCAGUGGGGAAUAUUGCACAAUGGGCGCAAGCCUGAUGCAGCCAUGCCGCGUGUAUGAAGAAGGCCUUCGGGUUGUAAAGUACUUUCAGCGGGGAGGAAGGUGUUGAGGUUAAUAACCUCAGCAAUUGACGUUACCCGCAGAAGAAGCACCGGCUAACUCCGUGCCAGCAGCCGCGGUAAUACGGAGGGUGCAAGCGUUAAUCGGAAUUACUGGGCGUAAAGCGCACGCAGGCGGUCUGUCAAGUCAGAUGUGAAAUCCCCGGGCUCAACCUGGGAACUGCAUUCGAAACUGGCAGGCUAGAGUCUUGUAGAGGGGGGUAGAAUUCCAGGUGUAGCGGUGAAAUGCGUAGAGAUCUGGAGGAAUACCGGUGGCGAAGGCGGCCCCCUGGACAAAGACUGACGCUCAGGUGCGAAAGCGUGGGGAGCAAACAGGAUUAGAUACCCUGGUAGUCCACGCCGUAAACGAUGUCGACUUGGAGGUUGUGCCCUUGAGGCGUGGCUUCCGGAGCUAACGCGUUAAGUCGACCGCCUGGGGAGUACGGCCGCAAGGUUAAAACUCAAAUGAAUUGACGGGGGCCCGCACAAGCGGUGGAGCAUGUGGUUUUAUUUCGAUGCAACGCGAAGAACCUUACCUACUCUUGACAUCCAGAGAACUUUCCAGAGAUGGAUUGGUGCCUUCGGAACUCUGAGACAGUGCUGCAUGGCUGUCGUCAGCUCGUGUUGUGAAAUGUGGUUAAGUCCCGCACGAGCGACACCCUUAUUCCUUUGUUGCCAGCGUCCGGGCGGGAACUCAAGGAGACUGCAGUGAUAAACUGGGAGGAGUGGGAUGGACGUUCAGUCAUCAUGCCUACGAGGUAGGCUACCACACGUUGUCCUACAGAGUGGCGCCGCCCAUAUUCACGA